rnacentral:lncRNA from 1 species
UCUUCCAUAUUUAACCCAACCCCUCUGAAUCAGGAGAACCAAACCUCUGUUCUAUCAGUAUAACCUCUACAAGAGUAGUAAGGAGAGAGGUAAGAAGAGAGGGAGCGAAGGACUGAAAGAUGGUAAGAGUGGAUGAGGCCUAUACUAAAAGAACAGACUGGAUGAGGCAUAUACUAAGAGAACAGACUGGGUGAGGCAUAUACUAAGAGAAGGAGACUUGGUGAGGCAUAUACUAAGAGAAGGAGACUGGGUGAGGCAUAUACUAAAAGAAACAGACUGAUGAGGCAUAUACUAAGAGAAGGAGACUGGGUGAGGCAUAUACUAAGAGAAGGAGACUGGGUGAGGCAUAUACUAAGAGAAGGAGACUUGGUGAGGCAUAUACUAAGAGAACAGACUGGGUGAGGCAUACUAACAGGAAGGAGACUGGUGAGGCAUACUAACAAAGAGACUGGGUGAGGCAUAUACUAAAGAAGGAGACUUGGUGAGGCAUAUACUAAGAGAAGAGACUUGGUGAGGCAUAUACUAAGAGAACAGACUGGAUGAGGCAUAAGCUAAGAGAAGGAGACUUGGUGAGCAUAUACUAAAGAGAAGGAGACUGGUGAGGCAUAUACUAAGAACAGACUGGAUGAGGCAUAUACUAAGAGAAGGAGACUGGGUGAGGCAUAUACUAAGAGAACGACUGGUGAGGCAUAUACUAAGCAAAGGAACUGGGUGAG